rnacentral:lncRNA from 1 species
AUUUAGUUACAGAACAUGAAAAUGAGGCUAGGUUUCAAAGAAUGGACGGACAGCAGACGUGUAACUCUUGGUAGACACCAUCUAUGAUGGCGUAAUUUCCAGAGACACCAUUUACUUUUAAAAAGUUAUAGAAUAUUGAAGUGAGGUUUGGCUCCGCAGAAACGCAGAAAGCAGACGUGAAUGGAUUGGCAAACACCUCCCAAUGUGGCACGCUUUCCAGAAAUUUGAAACACUCCUAAAUAUGAAAGUUACAGAAUAUGAAAGCGAGGCUAGGUUUUCGUGAAUACAGGAUAUGAAAGCGAGGCUUGGUUUUGGUGAAUACAGGAUAUGAAAGCGAGGCUAGAUUUUGGUGAAUGAAAUACAGGGAGCUGACAGGUGUGGAAUAUGUUACACAGAAAACGUUUCUGGCGCUGGUUCCCAUGUUUCCGCCAUCUGGCGCUGGUUUCCGCCAUCAUGAUGUAAAGCAAUGAAACGAGUGACCAGAAAGCCUAUUGACAUUUUUCUACUUGAAUGUAUGGCACAA